rnacentral:sRNA from 1 species
UCUUCAGUUCUUUCUUGUUACUCGACCUCAUACUCGACCACCUAGUUGUUUGGCAACAGACUGUACAGUCGAGUAUCUGUGUUUCAUUUUCUGUCUGUUACUCGACCUGUCACUUGACCUCACCCAGUGUUCUGCAAAGAGCUGUGUUGGUCGAGUGUUUUACUGUUUCUGUUUGAUUUUCUGUUUUCUGCAUGUUCACUUAGAACUGCUAGAACACACCAAAACCUGUUAUUGCUUGGCUUGACUUAGUGACUUCUGAUCACAUCUUGAUUGUUAGCAUCACACCCAUUUGGAUUGACAACCUAAAAUACUACAACGAUAUGAUUGGUGUUUUAGGAUAAUUGACUAAAAAACCUAUUAUCAAUUUGGCGCCGUUGCCAAUUGGGUGUUUGUUUGUUACAUUUGAGAUUUCAGACUUGCUUAGAUCAAGUUCUUUUUCAAUUUUCUUUUCGGUUACUAACUGUGUGUUUUUCUUGUUGUCUUCUUGAUCCAGGUACACCUCUGCUGUAUGCGAAUUCGAUCAACAGGCAAUCAGAACCUCCUUUUCGACGACAACAUCAACCGCAUAGCUCGCGAACUCAGAAAAAGGAGAACCACAGUCACCCCUGUAUCUCAGCAACCACUCGAAAUGGCUGAAGAACAGAAUCAACAAAAUGGCCCUGCCAACAUUGGUGCUGGAGAUGCACCACGUGAUCACCGCCAGAGGAAAGGAAUUGCACCUCCUGCGAUCCAGAACAACAACUUCGAGAUUAAGAGUGGUCUCAUCUCGAUGAUUCAGGGGAACAAAUUCCAUGGUCUGCCAAUGGAGGAUCCACUCGACCACCUUGAUGAAUUCGAUAGGCUCUGCAACCUAACAAAGAUCAAUGGUGUCAGUGAAGACGGAUUCAAGCUCCGUUUGUUCCCAUUCUCCUUGGGCGACAAAGCACACAUCUGGGAGAAGAAUCUGCCCCAUGACUCAAUCACCACCUAGGAUGAUUGCAAGAAGGCUUUUCUAUCAAAGUUCUUCUCCAAUGCCAGAACUGCAAGACUCAGAAAUGAGAUUUCUGGUUUCUCACAGAAGACUGGUGAAAGCUUCUGUGAAGCAUGGGAGCGUUUCAAGGGGUACACCAACCAAUGCCCUCAUCAUGGCUUUACUAAAGCCUCUCUGCUCAGCACUCUUUACAGAGGAGUCCUACCACGCAUCAGAAUGCUUCUGGAUACAGCUAGCAAUGGGAAUUUCCAGAACAAGGAUGUUGAAGAAGGCUGGGAAUUGGUUGAGAACCUCGCUCAAUCAGAUGGCAAUUACAACGUGGACUGUGAUACGUCAGAGGAACAGCUGAUUCUGAUGACAAACACAGGAAGGAGAUCAAAGCGCUGAAUGACAAGCUGGACAUGAUUCUUCUUAGCCAGCAGAAGCAUGUGCACUUCCUUGUUGAUGACGAGCAAUUUCAAGUCCAAGAUGGGGAGGGUAACCAGUUGGAAGAAGUCAGCUACAUAAAACAACCAGGGUGGCUACAAAAGAUACAACAACUAUCGCUUGAAACUCUUUCCAAGAAAACUUAAAUCCAGAUGUUCUGGCCCAUUCUGUAUCACUGAGGUCCGUCCUUAUGGAGCAGUCACUCUAGCUGGUAAGAGUAGAGAUUUUACAGUAAAUGUUCAAAGGCUCAAGAAAUACUUAGCAGACCAAAUCCUUCCAGAGGUGACAUCGGUUCAUCUCCAAGAACCUCUUGAUGAUUAAAGGAGUAAAGGAGUCAAGCUAAUGACUUUAAACAAGCUCACUUGGGAGGAAGUCCCAUGAUUAUCUCUGUAAAUAAAAAAUUUCUUGUCUUGUUAUUUUUGAUUUGUUUUAAUUGUGUUUGUGGUUUUCAGAGAAAAGGGAACAACGUGGAGAUAGAGUAAAAAUUCAAAACUUUUACUCUACAGAAGACCUGGAGAUUGAGUGUAUAACCUGGUGGAGUACAAAAUUUAUAAAGUUUUCUGCUGCGUCUGGAGACACGGAAUUCGAGUACAUCAGUCGAGUAUACGUGAUGUUUAAAAUCCAAAAUUUUAAAAAAA